AACGAACGCUGGCGGCAUGCCUAACACAUGCAAGUCGAACGAGCCCUUCGGGUCUAGUGGCGCACGGGUGCGUAACGCGUGGGAACCUGCCCUUAGGUUCGGAAUAACUCCCCGACAGGGGUGCUAAUACCGGAUAAUCUCUUCGGACCAAAGAUUUAUCGCCUUUGGAUGGGCCCGCGUUGGAUUAGCUAGUUGGUAGGGUAAAAGCCUACCAAGGCGACGAUCCAUAGCUGGUCUGAGAGGAUGAUCAGCCACACUGGGACUGAGACACGGCCCAGACUCCUACGGGAGGCAGCAGUGGGGAAUAUUGGACAAUGGGCGAAAGCCUGAUCCAGCAAUGCCGCGUGAGUGAUGAAGGCCUUAGGGUUGUAAAGCUCUUUUACCCGGGAUGAUAACGACAGUACCGGGAGAAUAAGCUCCGGCUAACUCCGUG
rnacentral:rRNA from 1 species